rnacentral:lncRNA from 1 species
AGGGAACCAAUAAUAUUUAAACUCCCAUGGUGAAUUUCCCUACAAAAGUCUGCAGCAGGAACGCACAUGACAAAGAAAAGAAAAAGGAAAGUAGAUCCUUGUGUUUAUCUUCUGCAAUACAUGACUAUUUUCAACAUAACCAUGUAACUAUAUUAUGCUGCACAAACAAAAUCAUUAAUAAAUUACUCUCUUAAUCUUUUCUUAGGUGCCACACUACAAACAGAAGGCCCAAGAAAAUGUCACAUUGCAUAGAAUAAAUGAUUCAUGGUGGGUAAAGCAAACCGACUUACUUUCCACACAAACCUGAAUCACAACUAUCCUAACUUCAUCGGCUGUAUCAGGGCUAUUUUGGGAAGGGGACUUUUGCUUUGAAUCUAACCCAAUCACCAGCCUGCAAGCACAAAUAGAAGAUGAGGAUCCAGUUGAUUUGCCCUACAAAUAUUAAGACAAAGAAUAGCUCUAACGCGAAACAACAAAAACUAAAAGUAGCUAAAAAGGGGAAAGUAGGAGACUUCAUACCUUAAAACCAUUGAUCUUCUCCAUGUCUGAUGGAUCUUCCUGCCAAGGUGCAGAUCUAUUAGGAAUAUCAAUUAUGAGCAGACCAUCGUUGUCGAUAUCGAUUAUUUUCCCUAUUAUGUGUUGAGUUUCUAAAAAUGAGUGCUUUUUGCUAACAAGUAAAAGGAUCUAUGAUGGUAUCCACUAUACAGAGAACAUUUCUCUUUGUCAAAUGACUUCAAUGAAUUACUUUUGCUUGAGAAAUAGCUUUUAUAAAGCCAAAUAUCAAACAUCUAGCACAGUAGGACACGAUGUGAUUUUUUCGAAGAUGAAUUAUCAUACCAACAAAAUGCAUACAGUAAGACAAACAACACAAAUAGUUGAUACUCUUCACCUAUAAAAAAUUAGCAACAUUCAAAGGCAAUCAAUAAGAAUCCAAACUAAAUACUUGCAUCAAUCAAAUACUUGCACAAAUAUACAGAAGAAAAUGAACCUAUAACUUCAUGGUUCUAUAUGGACAAAAAGAUCCACAGCAAGACCUAAACAUCACCAAGGAUAAGAAAUAACAGAGCAUUUUUCUUCGCCUGAUGCAGGGUCAUGGCUAGUGAAGGUCAGCAGCUCCUUCCCACCUGCUACGGCCGCUACAACCUUGGGCAAAAAUGUGGUCAGAGACGGCACAAGGGAAGCUGCUCCCAUCUCUACAUCCUUCCUCCUCUCAGCCAGCCAUGACUCUCCACCACCAGUCGCAGGAGAGUUGGCCAGUUGGGGCAGAAAAUCUUGGCAUAAAGCUCUUGACCAUCCUCUUCCCUGUCGUUCCUCUACCUCCCUCCUCUUCUCAACUAGCCAUGGCUCUGGGCAAGUUUCCUCGAGCUGCAAGCCAUGGUGGAGCACUCCAUCGGCUGCAUUAGCUAAGCCUCCAGAUCUGGCCGCCAACAUCAUCGCUCCCACCUCCUACCCUACGAACCACCAUCAUAUCAUUCCACCCCGAGAGAGAGAGAGAUGUACCUCAGUACCUGUAAAUCUAACCUCGCUGAUUAGACCGGAACUAGAACAACGAACAGAGAGGGCAGGCUCUAGUCGGCCUCCAACUGGCCGAUGCGCAAUGAAGUUGAGCCAGGGAUGGAGGCAACGAAGGUCGGACCGCUGAUGUUCGUGCUUCUGCCACCUCUACGAGCUCAUGGCUCUAGCCGAUGCUGCCGAGGAUGCUUAUCCUUCGCACGUCCCUGCCUCCUGCGAGAGAGUCGUCGAGGGGACGAUGGAGGCGACGAGCGGGGAGAGGGAAGGCGGCGGAGUCAGAGAGGAGUGGAGGGAGAGGGAUGAGAGGAGGCUGAGGGGGCGCAGGCUCUAGACGAGAAGGGUUGGCGGCUAGGGUUUGACGCUUUACUGAGGAGGAAGAGAAAUCGAGGAGGGAGGGACGGGUGUGACAUGCGGGCGAGGGACUUUCGAGGCCACGACUUGCCCUAUGCUUCCGCAAACCACGCGACGCGCAGGAGUGGACGCACUCGCACCUUGAAAGGGCUGACCCAGCCAUGACAGACGCUCCAAGAGCCAUCGGACAUUGGGCCAUGCAAAACUACCACGCGGUCAAACACAAAGCACUGUAACUACCAACGAACAUCCAACGACACACACGAAGUUAAUGAUCAGACUGAUCAAGAUCGAAGGGCAGAAAACGCAUGACACCUGGGGAGCGAGUUGCCCAGCCACAAAUGAAUACUAGUAGUGCGCCUGCGAAUGUACUCCCUCCGUUCCAAAAUAGAUGACCUCAUCUAUUUUGAAACGGAGGGAUUACAUCUUUAAAAAAACCACGGGUUUCUACUCCCUCCUUCCCAUAUUAUAAGAGCAAUUACAAUCUCAAAAAAUAUUUAAAAAAUAAAUCGAGAACAGGACAGCACCUCUUUGCACGUCCCACCUGACGUCCCUCUCCUCCUCCACUCCCUCUCGCCCCCAUUCCGCUUUGGACGGUCCAAAAAUUUCUCUCCGGCCACCUUCUCUCUCCUCCCACCGACUCCUUCGGCAAUGCCGCCGCGGCGCGCGCGCGCGCGGCCGCCGGCGCUGCUAGAUCCUUGCACGAUCCACGCCGCAGCCGGGAGCCCUUGAACCUGCGCAGCGAGACGACCAAUGCACGAGCGCGCCCGGCCAGGGCGCGGGAGACGACCGUGCGCGUGCCGCGUGUCACCGAUGCCGCCCCCCGGCGAAGACCCCGACGCGGCGCCCUCGUGCAGCAGCUCCGACACUAGCGAGCCGCAGGACCAGCAGCGCUCGGAGCGGGCGCUCUCCAACGGAGAUCUCUACCUGGGCCAGUGGCGCGGGGGCGUGCCACACGGCGACGGCAAGUACCUGUGGGCGGAUGGCUGCAUGUACGAGGGCGAGUGGCGCCGCGGCAAGGCCACCGGACGCGGGAGGUUCUCUUGGCCGUCGGGAGCCACCUACGAGGGCGAGUUCUUGGACGGGUUCAUGCACGGCGCGGGAACCUACGUGGGCGCCGCGGGGGACAGCUACCGCGGCGCGUGGGCCAAGAACCUCGAGCACGGCGCCGGCGAGAAGCGAUACGCCAACGGCGACUGCUACGACGGCGAGUGGCGGGCGGGGCUUCCGGACGGGUGUGGCCGCUACACCUGGCGCGAUGGCACCGAGUACGCCGGCGGCUGGCGUGCGGGGCUCAUCCACGGCCGCGGCGCCCUGGUCUGGGCGAACGGCAACCGCUACGAUGGCGGCUGGGAGGGCGGCCGCCCGCGCGGACAGGGCACGUUCCGGUGGUCGGACGGCAGCCUGUACGUCGGGUUCUGGGGCCGGGAGGCCCCCGGCGGCGCCCUGCACCAGAAGGGCGUGUACUACCCAUCCCCGGGGGCGGCAGGCGAGACGAGGACGCGCGACCCGAGGGAGGUGUUCACGAGGGAGCUGCCGGAGUGUGUGCGCUCUGGUACGGAAAGCCAGUCGGCGCUACCGUCACUGAGGUCUCUAAAAUGGCUGGCGCGGUCGGUCAGGGGGCGCGUGAGCUCGUCGUCGGGCCGGAGCAAUCUUUCGGGUGGGAGUAAUUGGGGUUCCGAUGGAGACGUCAAGUGCGAGCUUGCUGACGACUGGAAGCGUCGUAACAGUACGAGGGAGGGUAGGGGGCUCCUGCCGCUCCCUUCGCCGGCGCCAGCGCCACAAGUAGCCAAGGGUGCACCGCUGCGGGUGUCGAAGCGGCAGGGGGAGACCAUUGCCAAGGGGCACAAGAACUACGAGCUCAUGCUCAACCUGCAGUUGGGCAUCAGGUGCAUUUCUUUCCCCUGAUUAGUACACCUUGAAUUCUUGAUCUUCCUGUCAAUUUCAGAAACUGGUGGAGGUGGUUUUUUUUUGAGAGAGAGAUUUGAAAUUUCAAUUAGACAUGAUUGUCAGAGGAUCUGCAUUGAGAUUGCUCGUUUAACUAUUUAUCAUGUUGUUGCUAAACAUGAACACCAACAAUGUUCCAUUCUAUUGGAGAGAACUGAAGCACAUACAUGCACAUUAUAAUGUUCUUAGCAAGUAAUGUAAGCCUAUUUUUUUCUUUGGCAUACAUACAUUGGAGACGGAGUAUAUUAGUACCAAUCUUCAAGAACAAGUGGGAUGUUCAGAGUUGUACUAAUUACCGUGGAAUUAAGCUGAUGAGCCAUACAAUGAAGCUAUGGGAGAGAGUCAUUGAGCACCGCUUAAGAAAAAUGACAAGCGUGACCAAAAAUCAGUUUGGUUUCAUGCCUGGGAGGUCGACCAUGGAAGCCAUUUUCUUGGUACAACAACUUAUGGAGAGAUAUAGGGAGCAAAAGAAGGACUUGCAUAUGGUGUUCAUUGACUUGGAGAAGGCCUAUGAUAAGAUACCGCGGAAUGUCAUGUGGUGGGCCUUGGAGAAACACAAAGUCCCAGCAAAGUACAUUACCCUCAUCAAGGACAUGUACGAUAAUGUUGUGACAAGUGUUCGAACAAGUUGAUGUCGACACUGAUGACUUCCCGAUUAAGAUAGGACUGCAUCAGGGGUCAGCUUUGAGCCCUUAUCUUUUUGCAUUGGUGAUGGAUGAGGUCACAAGGGAUAUACAAGGAGAUAUCCCAUGGUGUAUGCUCUUUGCGGAUGAUGUGGUGCUAGUUGACGAUAGUCGGACGGGGAUAAAUAGGAAGUUAGAGUUAUGGAGACAAACCUUGGAAUCGAAAGGGUUUAGGCUUAGUAGGACUAAAACCGAGUACAUGAUGUGCGGUUUCAGUACUACUAGGUGUGAGGAGGAGGAGGUUAGCCUUGAUGGCCAGGUGGUACCUCAGAAGGACACCUUUCGGUAUUUGGGGUCAAUGCUGCAGGAGGAUGGGGGUAUUGAUGAAGAUGUGAACCAUCGAAUCAAAGCCGGAUGGAUGAAGUGGCGCCAAGCUUCUGGCAUUCUCUGUGACAAGAGAGUGCCACAAAAGCUAAAAGGCAAGUUCUACAGGACGGCGGUUCGACCCGCAAUGUUGUAUGGCGCUGAGUGUUUGCCGACUAAAAGGCGACAUGUUCAACAGUUAGGUGUGGCGGAGAUGCGUAUGUUGAGAUGGAUGUGUGGCCACACGAGGAAGGAUCGAGUCCGGAAUGAUGAUAUACGAGAUAGAGUUGGGGUAGCACCAAUUGAAGAGAAGUUUGUCCAACAUCGUCUGAGAUGGUUUGGGCAUAUUCAGCGCAGGCCUCCAGAAGCUCCAGUGCAUAGCGGACGGCUAAAGCGUGCGGAGAAUGUCAAGAGAGGGCGGGGUAGACCGAAUUUGACAUGGGAGGAGUCCGUUAAGAGAGACCUGAAGGAUUGGAGUAUCACCAAAGAGCUAGCUAUGGACAGGGGUGCGUGGAAGCUUGCUAUCCAUGUGCCAGAGCCAUGAGUUGGUUGCGAGAUCUUAUGGGUUUCACCUCUAGCCUACCCCAACUUGUUUGGAACUAAAGGCUUUGUUGUUGUUGUUGUUUGUUGUUGUUGAUACAUACAUUGGAAGCACAACAUAUCGAACAGAUAUCAAUAACAAAAAUUCAUAAACAAAAUUACAUUUCAUAAACCCAAGAAGGCUUGCACUUUUUGAAGAUAUAAAACUUAAUUUUGUUUAGUUCUUCAACGAAACAAGAUGCUUAUAAGGAUUACCAAUGAACUAUUACAAACUUGGUGUCCACAAAAAAAUGGACCAUGCACAUUUGAAAAUGUCUCCUUUUAACUGGCGAGUAUUGAAUAGAUCAGAAAAUGGUACUUGUUGUUACCCCAGGGGCUGUUAGGUCACACGCAGUAGCAUGUAUAUUUUCGUACAUUACCCAAUUUACUUUUAGAAAUCAGGAUUUAUUUUUUAUUUUCAAGUCUUGUAUAUGUAAGUUUUGUGGUAGGGGGGGGGGGGGUUCUACUACAAAACUUACAUAUACAUGAUAAAUUCGAAGUUCUUUUUCUGGAGAGAGAAUUUAUUUUCAUACGAUUGAUGAAUGUCUUUGUGAACUUAUACGUUACAAUUUCUUAAUAUCUGAAUAUGCUAUCUUGGGCAUAGGCAUGCAGUAGGAAGGCAAGGUCAGGUUAUACUAGAUCUGAAAUCAUCAGCAUUUGACCCAAAGGAAAAAGUAUGGACAAAAUUCCCCCCAGAAGGCUCGAAAUAUACCCCUCCACACAAUUCUAGUGAUUUCAAAUGGAAAGAUUACUGCCCAAAGGUGUUCCGGUUGGUCAUCACUCCCAAGAUAAAGAUUUUCCUAUCUUAUGACCAUAUUAUGGUAUUGUACUCAUCAACAUAUGCACACAUAUUUGUUCUGAACUAAUUCACAGGACAUUGCGCAAGCUGUUCAAGGUCGAUCCAGCUGACUAUAUGCUAUCUCUGUGUGGAGAUGAUGCUCUACGUGAGCUCUCAUCCCCUGGUAAGAGUGGAAGCUUCUUUUACUUGACAAACGACGAUCGAUACAUGAUAAAGACAAUGAAGAAAUCUGAAGUAAAGGUUUGUCCUCCUUUUCUGUCUUCGCCUGAAUGUUAAAUUUUGUUCUGAACUUAUGGAUUAUUUGCUACCUUACAGAUGCUUCUGAAGAUGCUUCAUGCUUAUUACAAUCAUGUCCGUGCAUUUGAGAAUACCCUAGUGGCAAAGUUUUUUGGUCUACACUGUGUGAAGUUGGCUGGAGCAAACCAGAAGAAGGUUAGAAAGUAUAUACUUGUUUCUUUUUUGCGCAAACACACACAAAAUGUGCACCAUUUGUAUUAGAAGAAAGAGUGAAAUGCCAAAAUAGCACGUAUAUAAGGGUUUUCAUUCUGUCCUCACGCUGUAAUUACUCCAAUUUAUGAAUCUGCUGUUGUCAAGUACUAGUAUAAUAUCAAUCCUGACGGUCUGCUUGAUGCUGUACUACCACCCAGGUUCGUUUUGUCAUAAUGGGGAACCUGUUCUGCUCCGAUCACACUAUUCAUAGGCGGUUUGAUCUGAAAGGAUCAUCUCUUGGCCGGACAACUGACAAGCCACAGGCAGAGAUUGAUGAGUAUACAACUCUGAAAGAUCUUGAUCUUAAUUUUAUCUUUCGGUUGCAAAAACAAUGGUUUGAAGAGUUCCGAAGGUGCGAACAUCUUAUGUCUAAUUUUCGUAUUGUGUUUUGUGAAUGACCUAGGCACCAAAUGCUAACCAAUGAUAUCUGAACCCUAUGUACUAAUCUAGUUCUUACAUACUUUGAAGCAGGCAAGUGGACAAAGACUGUGAGUUUCUGGAGCAGGAGAAGAUUAUGGAUUACAGUCUCUUGGUGGGCGUACAUUUUAGAGGUAAGAGAGAGAUACUUAAGGCACUUUGUAAAAAUACAAAAUGCUGACUUGAUUUUUACUUUGGUUAAAGGUGCCAUUGACAUCGAUGGUGACAAACCUGCCACACCCCGCGUUUCAAGAUGGGACAGGAAUCACUUUCUUUCUGAUCCAAACAGGUAAAUAAGACACUAAAUUAUGUUCUCUUGCCUAAUACUACAGUCCUAGUUAUAAUUAAUUUGCCUCUUUCUAAAUCAUGUAGCUGGUAAGUACGUAGUUCUUGAGCCAGCUCAUCAUUGAGAUGAUUCAUGUUUCAGCUUCAUUGCAGUACAAAUUUUGACAUGGAAAGGUUUUAGGUACCCAUCUAUUUUAAACGACAAAAUUGACAUUAAUUUCUAUAGCCAGGAUGUUCAUUCUUCUGACUAGAAAGUAUUUUAGGUUCAUUUAGUAAUAUUUCCUAUUGUGUCAUUUCUUGGUAAUGAUAUUUCUAAGGUUAAUGCGUAUACGACAUAUAGUUUCUGGUGGUGUAAAUUCUCCAGUGUGUCAAUCCAGUCAUAUGGUCCCCAUUGUUACCUAGUAUUAAACAUUUUCUGUUUAGAACCUUCCUAUCUUGUACAUGUUUUCAUAUUCACCAGAUUUACCGUGGAUUCACAUGCUUAGUUCACACUUUUGAGUACUAAUGGUACUAAACAUUUUGUCAAAUCUAAUGAAAGAUCAGUUUAGGCUAUCACCUUAUGGUAGGAGCUAGGGCCCUACUGGGUCUUGGCCGGAGAUUGUAGGGGAAGGAGGGAGGUGGGCGAGGACGUGACCGCGGCGGCCGGCGUGCUGGCGCCAUCUCGCGCGGGAGGAGAGGCGGCGGCGAUGGGAGAGGAGGCGGCUAGGUUAGGGUUCCGGCUCUCCUCAAGGAGCCGGG